ACGGGAGGCAGCAGUGAGGAAUAUUGGACAAUGGAGGCAACUCUGAUCCAGCCAUGCUGCGUGCAGGAAGACCGCCCUAUGGGUUGUAAACUGCUUUUAUAUAGGAAGAAACCUUGGUACGUGUACCAAGCUGACGGUACUAUAAGAAUAAGGAUCGGCUAACUCCGUGCCAGCAGCCGCGGUAAUACGGAGGAUCCAAGCGUUAUCCGGAAUCAUUGGGUUUAAAGGGUCCGUAGGUGGAUAAUUAAGUCAGAGGUGAAAUCUUGCAGCUCAACUGUAAAAUUGCCUUUGAUACUGGUUAUCUUGAGUUAUUAUGAAGUAGUUAGAAUAUGUAGUGUAGCGGUGAAAUGCAUAGAUAUUACAUAGAAUACCAAUUGCGAAGGCAGAUUACUAAUAAUCAACUGACACUGAUGGACGAAAGCGUGGGUAGCGAACAGGAUUAGAUACCCUGGUAGUCCACGCCGUAAACGAUGGUUACUAGCUGUUUGGACUUUAUGUCUGAGUGGCUAAGCGAAAGUGAUAAGUAACCCACCUGGGGAGUACGUUCGCAAGAAUGAAACUCAAAGGAAUUGACGG
rnacentral:rRNA from 1 species